GGUGGCUCAGUGGUAGAGCUCUUGCCUUGCAUGCAUAAGGCCCUGGGUUUGAUUCCUCAGCACCA
rnacentral:tRNA from 1 species